UACAGAGGUCCCAAGCGUUGUUCGGAUUCACUGGGCGUAAAGGGUGCGUAGGCGGUCGGGUAAGUCUGAUGUGAAAUCUCACAGCUUAACUGUGAAACUGCAUUGGAUACUAUCCGGCUCGAGGAAUGGAGGGGAGACUGGAAUACUUGGUGUAGCAGUGAAAUGCGUAGAUAUCAGGAGGAACACCGGUGGCGAAGGCGGGUCUCUGGGCCGAUACUGACGCUGAGGAGCGAAAGCGUGGGGAGCGAACAGG
rnacentral:rRNA from 1 species